GUGGGGAAUUUUUCGCAAUGGGGGAAACCCUGACGAAGCAACGCCGCGUGGAGGAUGAAGGCCUUCGGGUCGUAAACUCCUGUCGACCGGGACGAAAGUGGUCCGGGCCAAUACCCCGGGCCAUCGACUGUACCGGUGGAGGAAGCCACGGCUAACUCUGUGCCAGCAGCCGCGGUAAUACAGAGGUGGCAAGCGUUGUUCGGAAUUACUGGGCGUAAAGGGCGCGUAGGCGGUCUUGUAAGUCCCGUGUGAAAUCCCUCGGCUCAACUGAGGAACUGCACGGGAAACUGCUUGGCUUGAGUUCGGGAGAGGGAAGCGGAAUUCCGGGUGUAGCGGUGAAAUGCGUAGAUAUCCGGAGGAACACCGGUGGCGAAGGCGGCUUCCUGGACCGACACUGACGCUGAGGCGCGAAAGCUAGGGGAGCAAACGGGAUUAGAAACCCCGGUAGUCC
rnacentral:rRNA from 1 species